GUUCCGUGGUGUAGUGGUUAUCACUCUCGCUUCACACGAAAGAGGUCCUGGGUUCAAGUACCAGCGAACA
rnacentral:tRNA from 1 species